AGCGCAGGUGGUUUAUUAAGUCUGGUGUAAAAGGCAGUGGCUCAACCAUUGUAUGCAUUGGAAACUGGUAGACUUGAGUGCAGGAGAGGAGAGUGGAAUUCCUAGUGUAGCGGUGAAAUGCGUAGAUAUUAGGAGGAACACCAGUGGCGAAGGCGGCUUACUGGACGGUAACUGACGUUGAGGCUCGAAAGCGUGGGAGCAAACA
rnacentral:rRNA from 1 species